rnacentral:rRNA from 1 species
GACAGAGGGUGCAAGCGUUGUUCGGAAUCAUUGGGCGUAAAGGGCGCGUAGGCGGUUUGGUAAGUCGAAUGUGAAAGCCCAGGGCUCAACCUUGGAAGUGCAUCCGAAACUGCUAGACUAGAGUCCCGGAGAGGGUGGUGGAAUUCCCAGUGUAGAGGUGAAAUUCGUAGAUAUUGGGAGGAACAUCGGUGGCGAAGGCGACCACCUGGACGGUGACUGACGCUGAGGCGCGAAAGCGUGGGUAGCAAACAGG